rnacentral:lncRNA from 1 species
AAAGGGCAAAAAAACAGAACAUAUAACACAUCCAAGUUCUAAAACAAAUACAACACAAUAUAGAAUCUAAAAUUCAAAGUUUUAAAGUAAUAAACAUCCACAAAUACAAAUCCAUAACAUAAUUCUACAAUUUAAAGCUCAAAUUUCCAGCCACUAGUGCUAAAGACUAAACUCUGAAUCAUCCACUUCAUUUGACUGUUGCUCACUCAUCCAACUUUCAUCAAUCAAAUGCUCUGCAGAAAGUAUUGCUUCCUCUGGAAUUCCAUCUACAAAAAAAUGUGUAAAUCAUAAACAUAAUGAACAACACAACCAAUUAGUGAUAAAUUGAUAAUAAGAACAAUACAACAAAUAAUUUGAUUCUAAUAAAUAAAAUUUUCAUACCUUUUAAGUUUUGUUCAACUAAAUAUGAAUCAAGAAUUCAUAAGAUUAAGAUUUUGAAGAGACAUUAUUAAUCAAGAAAAUUACAGGACAUUAACUUUGAAUUCUUAACAAGAACAUUAUUAAUCAUGAAUUCAUAAGAUUAAGAUUUUGAAUCGGCAAACUCUUCAAUAACAUCAAGCACAGAGAGGAUAUUCAUAGACAGUGAGAGAGAGAGAAGAUUACAAAAAAUAUUACAUAUGUGUUCAAGAAAACCGUAGGACUGCAGCAAAUCAAAAAAAAUUUGGUUGUUUUUAUUUUUGUUUUUAUUUCUUUUUCUAUUCAGCUCAAAAUAACCCAGCCGAAGCUCAACUCAGCAAAACAAAACAAAACAAAAUAUCCUUGGCUCUCAAAUGUCCAAAAGAUAAGAUGAAUAAUGAAUAAAAAAGGAUGAGGCCAAAGCAGAAAGAUGCAGUUUUUUUUUCCUCCAGUACUACCUUUUUAUUAACACAACCCCACAACCACAAACUAAAACAUAAUUAAUUAAUACAAAUCAAGUCCAGUACCACUUUUUUAUUAACACAACCCCACAACCACAAACUAAAACAUAAUUAAUUAAUACAAAUCAAGUCAUAAAAGUACCUAAAUGCAUCAGUAACAAGAAAAGUUGCAAACUUUUGAUGAAUUAAAUAAAUAACAAAGAACCAACUUUUUGCUUACCAGAAGAAAUGGAUCCAAGAAACCACAAACGAACCCAGCCGCGACUGAGGUGGAUUUAAACCCUUUUGCUGGCCGCGACAGAAUGAGAGAUGAGAC